GGGGUUAUAGCUCAGUGUGGAGCGUGUGCUUAGCAUGUCCGAGGUCCUGGGUUCAACCCCCAGUGCCUCUA
rnacentral:tRNA from 1 species